GAUGAACGCUAGCGGCAGGCCUAACACAUGCAAGUCGAGGGGUAGAGUUCUUCGGAACUUGAGACCGGCGCACGGGUGCGUAACGCGUAUGCAAUCUACCUUAUACAGGGGAAUAGCCCAGAGAAAUUUGGAUUAAUGCCCCAUGGUACUAUAGAGUGGCAUCACUUUAUAAUUAAAGUUCCAACGGUAUAAGAUGAGCAUGCGUCCCAUUAGUUAGUUGGUAAGGUAACGGCUUACCAAGACAAUGAUGGGUAGGGGUCCUGAGAGGGAGAUCCCCCACACUGGUACUGAGACACGGACCAGACUCCUACGGGAGGCAGCAGUGAGGAAUAUUGGUCAAUGGGCGCAAGCCUGAACCAGCCAUGCCGCGUGCAGGAAGAAGCAUCUAUGGUGUGUAAACUGCUUUUAUACAGGAAGAAACAACUCUACGUGUAGAGUCUUGACGGUACUGUAAGAAUAAGGACCGGCUAACUCCGUGCCAGCAGCCGCGGU
rnacentral:rRNA from 1 species